UUUGGGCAGCAGGAUUGGCCGUUUCACACAUCCCAAUCAUUCCCAGAUGAUAUAGAUUUGGGGAUGGGCCAGCUCAGAGCCCUGAAUCUGGGCCUGAGUGGUGGCUGAGUCGGUCCGCCUGCCAGCUCUCCUUUAUCUGCACCACCAGGGGGAGCACUCCAGCACUGCUCAGACUAGGUCAUCCAAUGCCAUCACCAGCAGGUGGCAGGGUCAGCUCUCUUGCUCUCCUGCCCUCAGGGCCUGCUCACCCGCACCCGUGCCUCCAGAGCCAGUUCCCCUGUGCUGCCCAUUCAAGAUACAGGGUCUGCUCUCCCAAAAUGCAGCGCCUGAAACGGGCUGGGCAAGCUCUCCUGCACUUACACCUUUGGAACUAGCUCACUCAUGCCUUUGCCAUCAGGGUCAGGCUCCACGGUGCUGUCCAGAUGAGGGCUGGCUCACCUGUGCCCCUGCUACCAUGGUCAACUCUGUGGUGCUGUCCAGAUGACUCUACAUUCUGUCUCCUCUCCAUGCAAAUAUCUAACACUUCCUUUUUCUGUGUGAGGACACAGAAGAAUGAGAGGAGCAUCUCAAGCAGCUUCAUUGUGCUUGUAAAAUGAACCCCAUCUAACCUUCUCUGAGUGAGUGAGGACUUUCAAGAUUCUUCUUUUUGGAAGGACAGUUCUAAAGCUUUGAGGACAUCAAACACAGGCCUGGCAAGAGCUAAGUAGCCGGGGGUUAAGGGAUGCGUGACUCACCUGUGACUCCGGUUGAUGCACCUGUGACCAUGCCCUCUACCUAUCCUUUGUUAAGGGUGUUCUGGAGUCAGAGCAAGAUGGCAUCCAGCAAGAUCCUCCAGUGAACCUGCUCCACAGAUGUGCGCCAACUCAGACCUGCUGUUUUAUACACCAAACUGACUUCACAAAACUGAAUGCAAUGAAUCCUGCCUGCUGUUGGCCAAACAAAAUGAAAAUUUGCAUUGGGGAAGGGAUGCUGGGAGUCAAACCCAGGUCCGAAGGAAGAGUAGCCAGUGCUCUCAACCACCAAACCACUAAGCCAUCUCCCUAGCUACGCAGAUAUUCUUCAACUUCCUUUGUGCUCAGCUGUUAUGGAUUUAAAGCGAGACUCAUCAAGACAAUUAUGUGUUCUCUUCCCAUACUGUUGGGGAUGUGUGAUUUGGAGAAUAAAAGGGUUAGGUUUAGCCAGACUAAUUUUUUUUUUUUCUGAGAACAAAAGGUGAGGAGAGAGAAGCAAGGAUGUUAAAGCCACUUGCAAAAAGGGAUGUUUACUAAUGUUGGACCAGGACACUGACUGCGGCAGGGAAUGAGGUCAUUAAGUUAGGUAACACAUAUCCAACAGUUACUGCAGGGCCUGGCACAUUGUAAAGACUCAAGAAACAUGAGCUGUUACAACUAGAAGCAUCCAUUCCAAAUCUGGACAGAGUACGUCUAAUCCCUCAAAUGUCCUGACCAAACUAACUUCAGAACUGCACGCAGGCCUAGCACGUGCAAUUACAUUCCGUUCUUUAGGACGGAGUGAUGGCUUUGAAGAGAAAGCAAUACAUUUCCAAGAUGGGAAAAACAUUCAGGAACUGUUUAUGUAUUUUAGGAGGAGAUAACUGAAAAACUAUUUUGGCUUCCCCACCAUCCCCACCACCAGUAGCACCCAGAAAGGUCCUUGUUGCUUUUCAAAUCAAGAAUUUACCAAUAGCAUGUUCUUUGAUUCCAGUAGUAAAGAUAUCUCUUUGGAAUAUUGAAGCCUGAGAGUAUUGUGGUUUUCUCAGAAACGUGUAUCUCGUUUUGCAAAUCUUCCCUGACUUGAUUGACUUCAGUCACACAUUCAUGCAGAUACCCGGAGUGCUUUCUCAUCUGUGACCCGUAGCUUCCAAGUCCCAAGCUGUGGCCAACUAAUUGGAAACACGCAACCAAAUAGAGGAGUUCCAGCCAUGCAAGGGCACGUCCCACUUUCUUUAUGCUUAAGUAUUAUUAUUCAACGUUUUGGCUGAGGUAAAGCGUUUUUGUCUUGUUUGUGCUACAAAGAUGUGAACACGUAGAAUGUCACAAUCACGUUGGUUCCAAAGAGUGAAAUGUAGUGUCAAAAAUAGAACUAUGGAGCAAGGAGUCAACAGAGAGAAACUUCCACCUGCCAGGCCCAGGUCCCACUGAUAAAGGGUUGAGACAAACCCUCCGGAGUGAAGAGGAUGGUAGCUACGUUUCUGCACUGAGCUCUGGGUGAGUUGUAGCCGCUAAAUGGAGGAGACGUCUGGAAGAGAUGGCUAUGGGUUCAAGACCUUUUCUCAUUGCUUCUUCUUUACUAAGUUUUUAUUUUAAGUGGUGUGUGUGUGUGUGUGUGUGUGUGUGAGAGAGAGAGAGAGAGAGAGAGAGAGAGAGAGAGAGAGAGAGAGAGAGGGCUGUGUAAGCGUGGGAACUCCUUGAGGGCAGAAAAGAGUGUGGGAUCCUCUGGAGCUGGACUUCCAUCUCUGAGCUACCUGAUGUGGGUACUUGGAGCCAAAUCCAGGUCUUCUGCAAAAGCCGUGCACUGUGUUGUUGGCUUCUAAGCACAGGAGGCUGGAUUUCAUUAUCCGUGAAGUGAAUGUGAUCACUCUGAAUUUCCUCAACUCUAUCGUUCAUCUUUGACAUUUCUGCUCAUGAGCAUGCGUGUGAAAAUUAAUCUACUUGAAGAGGUAAUGGGGAAAGCAUUCUAAAAUUGAAGGUGUCUCAUAUAGGGAAUUGACUUAUAGUAAGUAACCACAUAGCCACCACUUAGAUCCUAGGACUGUCGUACAGAUGCUAUUUGUUUGAAUGAGGUAUUGUCUAAAGGCUGGUGACGUGACGCAGUAGCUAGAAUGUGCCUAACAUGCACAACAUCCCCUGACUGGUCCCCAGCACCACAUAAAACCUCUGGUGAUGCUGGCCUGUGAUCCCAGCACUUAGGAGGGAGGAACCAGAGGAUGAGAAGUUCAAGGUUGCCUUACUAUACAUUGAGUUUGAGGUCAACCUGGGCUACAAGAGACCCUUGCCACAAAAACAAAGUAACUGCAAAGUGAGAUGUUGCUUGAAAAGCAUUUGGGAGAGCAUCUGACCCUGGGGUGAGGUGAGGAGGAGGGCAGAGCUGCAGGCUCAGGAUGCCCCACUUCCCAGGCCCCAAGCUGCUAAAAUUUCCUUGUCUGAACACAGCUGAUAAAGGAGAGAGAGACAUCGCCAGCCAGGCCUGUGGAUUACCUCUUAUCUGUAACUUGUUAAAACCAGGCUCAGGGGUGUGCCUGUCCAUUGAGCUGUUUCCUACCCGCUUUUGUUGUUCUUGUUUAAUCCUUAAGAGACCUAUUUCAGUGCAAGGUCAUACCCUGGUCCCUCGGAUGGGCAUCUCUGCAGAGCCAUCUGGAACUAUGGUUUAUUUUCUGUUUAUGGCGAGUUAUUUAUUUCAAACCUUCAGUCUAACAGUUCCCAAGGUGAGUGUCAGAUAUACACCCCAAUCUCCCUAUGUGAUCUGCGUACUGAGCCCUCUCCAACAGGCUCCCCUGGCCACAAUUUUUUUCCUUUCACCUCAGACAUGCCACUAUAACAGGCUCUGGCACUCGAUGUUUCCCUGUCUGGAACACUGUCACCCUACCAGGCUUCUUUACACGCUUCCUCAGAUGUUCUCAUGUUCUCGUUAAAAUUCCUUCUCUGCAGGAGUGCAUCCUCUGACCAGCCCGCUUAAGUUGUAAUCUCCCAAUCGGCUCCCUGUCCCCACUUUAGCUUCCUCCCAUAGCCCCACAGCCACCUACCAUUCCAUUUUACCUAGUUUACUACUCAUUUCCUUGUGGUAUUCAGUUUUAUCCCCUGUGCCAGGAUCACGCUCAGGUACAUAUAAACAAUAAAUUCUUACUUCAAUAACUAUUAUUUAUAUUUUAAUAGUUUCUUCUUUUUGGUGGUCUUUGGGUAAGAAUAAUAAGUAAUAAACAAACAUUUAUUUAUUUAUUUAUUUAUUUAUUUAUUUAUCCAUGUAUUUGGGUGCACACACACACACAUGUCAUGAGAUGCAAUCCACUUUUGAAGGUCAGAGGACAACAGUGGGUUCUGAGGAUCGAACUCGGAUCAUCAGGUUUGGCAGCAAGCUCCUUUACUCACUGG